AAUUCAUAGAAUUUCAAAUGUUGAAUUUCAAAUUCAAAUACUGUUUUGGCAAACCAAGUUAAAUUUUAGAAUUGUAAUUCGAUCCUACAACCAACAAAAUAGAACUACUAAUCACUAAUACAUAAUAAAAUCCAGUCUAACUUUUGCUCCUCCGGUAGAUCUUCAUCGUUGUCCCUUGCACGUUUCCUUGACUCUUGUAUACUCACCUCAUCCGACAUUUUUCAAAUUUAUGUGUAAAAGAUUGGCAAUAUUCAUUUGGAAUAAGUAUAAAUUUUCCUCAAUGUACAUACAACAGUAACUAACUAUUUGGUGAUCUGCUUUAUUAUAUUACCAAUGAUAGCAACUGAAAUUCUUAGCAACUUGAAAUACCUUUCUCCUUUUAUAUCUAGUAAAAAGCUUCAUGAUAAAUAUUGUUUUUAUUCCCAUGUUAAUGCUCUUAAGAUUUGCGUCACUUUACUACAUUUUUGGUGUAUAUAACAGCAAUAAAAUUACUAGUUUGCACUGGGCAAGAGCACAAUUAUGUUUACACCCAUUCAUCUUAUGAUAAAUGCAAAUAACCAAGUAGGCUGUCUAUUUAGCAAAUUACAGUCCAAUAUGACGGCUUUACUAGGCUGUUGGUGAACCCAUAGGAGAACAAAUACUGUGGUACUUAAAUUGUCCAAAUCAUGAGCAUACUAAUAGUGUGUUUGGUUCAUUUUUAGUAAAGGAAAGAAAGGGAAGAGAAAGGAAGAGAAGAGAAAGGAAAAGAAUGGAAGAGAGAAAAAAAACCUUAAUUUCCCAUGUUUGGUAUAAAUUUUCUCUUUCCUUCCGAAUUCCCCCGCUUUUGGGAGGAAAGGAAAGUGAAAUUUUAUUAAAGAUUCUUUCCUUCCAAUUCCUCCCAUUUCCUUUCACUUAAUUUUUUUUAAUGAACCAAAUAUUGAAAAGUAAUAAAUUUCCUUCCACUUCCUUUCCUUUCCUUCCAAAUUCCUUCUACCAACCAAACAAACUGUAAAAGAAUCUAAGAACAAAUUAAAAUCAGUGUUACAAGAUCAGCAACUGAAAACUUCCAUAUCUUAAUGUUACAGAAGAGCGUGCAAGAAAUUAUUUGAUUACAACCAGCAAUAACAUUAUUAGUUUGCAGUUGGUCUCUCUAUUUGCAAGCUGAGAAGCAAAGACUAAAAAAAACCCUAAUUAAUCUCAAGAUGUAAAUAAAUAAUAUAUAGAAUCGAAAAUUGAAUCAAUUACACAAACCUAAAACAAUAUUUAUAACUCAACCAUAAACAAUCUCGCAGCAAAUUCAAGGUAAAAAAGUUAAGAAUUGAGAAACUAACCUUAAAAAUAAGAUUUCGCAAUGUAGGAGGAGAGAGAAAGCUCGUGAUGUGUUGAGGAGAGAGAAAGCUCGCGAUGUGUUGAGGAGAGAGAAAGCUUGAGGGAGACAAUGAAAACGAGUUACCGAAGAACCAUGAAACCAGAUAUCCGAGCUCGAAAAAUCUCCAAUGGAAGAGAGAGAAAAUGAGUAAAUAGUUUUGUCGUGAUGUUUUGGAGAUGAAGAGAUGAGGUUUGGAUUUCAAAUGAUAGUAAUUUACCAUGGAUUUCAAAUGAUAUGGGCUGAGGUAUAUUUAAUAUGUGUAGGGAAUUGGGCCCAAAUCCAAUUCCAAAUAUUUUAGAUUGCCAAACAUGUGAAUUGGCCCAAUUACAGCAUUUCAAAUGAAAUGUUUGUAUCCAAACAGGCCAUUAAAGAAUUUGAGAAAGUUACCUGAUAUAAAAAUGCAUCUUGGCUUAGGGCUAUACUAACUCUUGUUGAAUAUUGGGAGGUAUAGUUGAUUCUUCGGCUCAAUAUGUCCACUAGAUUGAAAUUUCUGCAUUUUGAUAUUAAGUGUCAUAAAAUUAUUGUUUAGCUUGAAGUGUCGUAAGUCUAGUAACAGCUUUGCAGAAGUUACAUCAUUUUUCAUUUCAUUUAAUGGGCUGAUAAUUUGAGAUGAUUUCGAGUGACUUCCCAUUUUCUGUUGGAAGAUACAAAGGAAAUAGUUUUGUUUAGGAAAGCAAUGAGGUAUUUGUUGGGGAAUUAAACCAAUUAUCUCUGUGCUAUUAGGUGGUCUUGCUUAGGUUCCUAAUCUGCGCAUUUCUCCUUGUUCUGUAGGUUAUGCAGUUCUGCUGACUUGGCCGUUUCCACUUUCAUAAUUUAUCGCCAAUAGGAUAAAGUUUAAAUGCCCAUUGAGGAUUUUUUUUGUCAAUGGACUCCAUUUUAUAGUGGAAUAAAUUCAUGAGUGAUUUUAGAAUUUGACAUGAAUAUAGAAGUUGAUUUGGUUGUUGAUUUUAGAAUUAGAGCUGGGCACUUGGACUGAGAUGCACGGACACUUUCUUGAGAUUUUGGUGCUGAGACUUGAGAAAAGGAUGUAUGAUUUGAAGAGGCAAUUUGUUGGCGGAGAGCUUAGAUUUGUUGGGGAAAAUACAAAUGAGAAGUUCGUAGAAAGAGAAAGGUCGAAUACCAAACGGUUUGGUAGCGAACAAGAGAGAUCGGGAUACUUUGGUUAUUCCACUUAUGUGGACCCAUAUUUAAUUAUCUCUAAUUCUUUAUUGUUUGGUGGCAAACCGUUUGUUGUUUAGGCACACUCUUUUCAGUAGUUACUACAUUCGAUAUAUAACUAUAUAUUGAAAAGUGCUAUUUGUACUUAUGAUGUCUCUGGAAUGAAGAAAUUUGAAGAGAUUGGAAGGAGAUGUAGAUUGCGGGAAGAGAAGGGGAGGGAAAUGAAGCAAUAUAAUUUCCUCUCUUCCACCUCCUUAAGUUGGAAAGAACCAGAGGGAAACUACAAGUCAAGGUCUCCCUCCCUUGAUCUUCUUUUCCCUUUCGCCCCCUUCCCUCUUACAUUGGUGUCCAAUUACACUGUUCAUGUUUAGAAGGUAAAGUCAAGCAAUUUCUGAUCACCAAAAGGAUUUGAUUCCAUAGUGGUUCCAAAACCACUCCUUGUGACACACCUCCAUUUUUUUCAUUACAUGCAUUUCUGAAUUGGCAUAGAUAUUUAGAGGGGAGAGCGAGAAAGAGAGUGAUAAAAGAUACAGGACCCAUGUGAUGAAGGGGAGAGUGAGUAAUAAAAGUUUGCUGAGGAGGGAAAUGUUGCAUAUAUUCUUUGAACAUCCAGAAAUGGGAAAUGUUGCACGUAUUAAUAAGUGCAGGAAGUAUAUGUUUGGAGAUGAUUACUUGCAUACCUCAGGAAACUUGACUUUGCCUCGUACAAGUGAGGUACAU